rnacentral:rRNA from 1 species
GGCAUAACCCCGGGAAACUGGGGAUAAUACCGGAUAGAUCAGGGGUCGCUGGAAUGCGCCUUGAUCCAAAGCUCCGGCGCCUAAGGAUGGGUCUGCGACCUAUCAGGUUGUAGUGGGUGUAAUGUACCUACUAGCCGACGACGGGUACGGGUUGUGAGAGCAAGAGCCCGGAGAUGGAUUCUGAGACACGAAUCCAGGCCCUACGGGGUGCAGCAGGCGCGAAACCUUUACAAUGUGCGAAAGCAUGAUAAGGGAACUCCGAGUGCCAGCAUUAAAUGUUGGCUGUCCUUGUGCCUAAAACGCACAAGAUAGCAAGGGCCGGGUAAGACCGGUGCCAGCCGCCGCGGUAACACCGGCGGCCCGAGUGGUAGCCGCUAUUAUUGGGUCUAAAGGGUCCGUAGCCGGUUUGAUAAGUCCUCUGGGAAAUCUGAUUGCUCAACAAUCAGGCUGCCAAGGGAUACUGUCAAACUUGAGACCGGGAGAGGUAAGAGGUACUUCAGGGGUAGGAGUGAAAUCUUAUAAUCCUUGGGGGACCGUCUGUGGCGAAGGCGUCUUACCAGAACGGGUCUGACGGUGAGGGACGAAAGCUGGGGGCGCGAACCGGAUUAGAUACCCGGGUAGUCCCAGCCGUAAACGAUGCUCGCUAUGUGUCAGAUACGGUGCGACCGUAUCUGGUGCCGUAGGGAAGCCGUGAAGCGAGCCACCUGGGAAGUACGGCCGCAAGGCUGAAACUUAAAGGAAUUGGCGGGGGAGCACUACAACGGGUGGAGCCUGCGGUUU